GCUUUAGACGGCCAUGUUGCUUGAGCAGACAUAAUUAUGCCUACAAUCACUCCAAACAACCCCAGCGCGCUGCCGAAGAUUUCAAUUACCAGAAUCUUAACAAAGAGAGAGGAGUUCUGAGCAUCAGAGAGUGCACAGCUGCUUCCAAUAAUCCCCACACAGAGCCCACAUACAAGGUUAGCGAAACCCACAAUGAUCCCGGAAGCAAAGAUUGCAUAUCCAGCCCUCAUAGACUCUGCAGCAUAUAGCUGAGAUGCUGGCACACUUUCUAACUUCGUCUGUAAUAUGAUUGCAACAAUAACGCCGUAUAUGGCAACAGCCUCACAGAAAAUAACACUGAUGAGAUUCUUAGAAGUGAUCCUCGGAGCUUUGAUCGCCGCACCAAUCAAGCUACUCCCCGUUAUGUAAAUUCCCCAAGCAGCGCCGAGGACGGAGACGCCGAUCGAGAUCGCGAUCCCG
rnacentral:misc_RNA from 1 species